rnacentral:rRNA from 1 species
AAAAUGAGAGCUUCGGCAGGAUUUUUAUUUAUCUUAGUGGCGGACGGGUGAGUAACGUGUGGGCAACCUGCCCUAUACUGGGGAAUAAUCACUGGAAACGGUGACUAAUACCGCAUGUCAUUACGGAAGGGCAUCCUUCUGUAAGAAAAGGAGUAAUUCGGUAUAGGAUGGGCCCGCAUCUGAUUAGCUAGUUGGUGAGAUAACAGCCCACCAAGGCGACGAUCAGUAGCCGACCUGAGAGGGUGAUCGGCCACAUUGGGACUGAGACACGGCCCAAACUCCUACGGGAGGCAGCAGUGGGGAAUAUUGCACAAUGGGGGAAACCCUGAUGCAGCAACGCCGCGUGAAGGAAGAAGGUUUUCGGAUCGUAAACUUCUAUCAACAGGGACGAAGAAAGUGACGGUACCUGAAUAAGAAGCCCCGGCUAACUACGUGCCAGCAGCCGCGGUAAUACGUAGGGGGCAAGCGUUAUCCGGAAUUACUGGGUGUAAAGGGAGCGUAGGCGGCACGCCAAGCCAGAUGUGAAAGCCCGAGGCUUAACCUCGUGGAUUGCAUUUGGAACUGGCGAGCUAGAGUACAGGAGAGGAAAGCGGAAUUCCUAGUGUAGCGGUGAAAUGCGUAGAUAUUAGGAAGAACACCAGUGGCGAAGGCGGCUUUCUGGACUGAAACUGACGCUGAGGCUCGAAAGCGUGGGGAGCAAACAGGAUUAGAUACCCUGGUAGUCCACGCCGUAAACGAUGAGUGCUAGGUGUCGGGGAGGAAUCCUCGGUGCCGCAGCUAACGCAAUAAGCACUC